AUGGCUUUAAAGAUUGAGACUAUCUUUCUUGUAUUUGUCUGUGGUGCAAUUCUUUUGGGAGGCAAUCUAAAAAUUGUUGAUGCUAAAGUUUGCCCCUUUAUAUGUAAUGAUUCAGCUGCAUACAUGAUUUGUCCUUCUUCUGGUGAUCAACACCUCAAUCCACCAUGCAACUGUUGUCUUGCAUCAACUGGUUGUGUACUUUAUCAAGGAGAUGGAACUCUUAUUUGUACUGCUAAUUGA